GAUGAAGAACGUAGCGAAAUGCGAUAAGUAGUGUGAAUUGCAGAAUUCAGUGAAUCAUCGAAUCUUUGAACGCACAUUGCGCCCCUUGGUAUCCCGAGGGGCAUGCCUGUUCGAGCGUCAUUUCACCACUCAAGCCUGGCUUGGUGUUGGGCGACGUCCCCUUUGGGGACGCGCCUCGAAACGCUCGGCGGCGUGGCACCGGCUUUAAGCGUAGCAGAAUCUUUCGCUUUGGAAGUCGGGGCCCCGUCUGCCGGAAGACCUACUCGCAAGGUUGACCUCGGAUCAGGCAGGGAUACCCGCUGAACUUAAGCAUUCAAUAAGCGGAGGA
rnacentral:misc_RNA from 1 species